GGUCUUGCUCCCCAAAAUCCAUCCCUUCUCUUCUUUGGUCCAAUCUGGAUUGUUAAUUCCGUCAAGAGGUGUGAGUCAUCGUUUUACUGGAUGCUCUCUCGAUCAUUUCUUCAUAUGCAUUUUGUGGGUAGCAAAAUGUUCUCUUUGUAUGGAUUUGAAAAAGGACCAAAUCUUACGAAAUACUUCUUAAAUAGGAUGUGCGAUUUUGAUAGUAUUUUCUAUGAAUUUUGGGAAAAUUUAUGUUAUAUAGCAUGCUUUAUUAAUUCUUUUAGCUCAAGAUAGCUCCCUUGGUGAUUCUUUUCAAUGAAGGACUUGCUCUCCAGCAUGUGGUUUGGUAUUUCUUGACUGCAAGUAUUCAGCAGCCACAACUGAACUGAAGAUCAGCAAGUAUUUAAGCAACACAUAUGUUUGGUUUGCAUGUGUUAUAACCAGAUCAACGAAGUUUCUGCACAUCAUGAGUAAGAGGUGAAGAAAUCAUGUUUGCAAAUGGCCAUCGAUUAAACUGCAGUAUUUUCCAUGAACUGUGGUAACUCUUGCCUAGAAAAACUGCAUGAGAAAAAGUCUUGCUUCAGGUGAAUUUUUGCGUUAUCAUCUUUUGUACAGGUUGAAACUAUCAAGUGUUAACUUUUGUGGUUUGUUAACAAGACUGUUCAUCAUAUCCACUUGUGCACGUACCAUAGCCAGAGUCACUUAUUCGGCAUGGUUUUAUACUGGAAUUAACCACAUAACUAAUUUUGUUUUACCACCUUGACGCCUUCAGUUACAUAGAGCUUCUGUCAAUGCCCAACCGAUAAUGAACAAGUACAAUUUUAUAGAUGGUUCAAGUGAAGUUGUGCAAAGUGAAUCAAUUCUGCAAGAUACCAUGCCAUACAUUUUUCCUUGGUAGCAUUAACAUGUAUAGAUCAUUUUAUUGUGUACAACAAAGUCAACAAUACAUGUUUGUAUAACCAUGGCUUUGGUCAAUUUCUGCCAUCGAGCUUCUGCGAAAAUGUGACCAGGAACUAAUUAUGUCGUAAUUCAGUAUAGAACCUGACACUAAAUAAUACUCCCUUCGUUCACUAAUGUAAGACCUUUUAGCUUUUUCUUGAUCGGUUUCUCUUCUUCAGUUGUUGGCUGCCCGUGCAACAAUUUUUCUUGAACCAAGUACUUUGCACUAUAUUUUGAACUUUCUAAUUUUGUUCCGUGACAUGUUUUUGCAGCCUUCCAUUCAAAAUUAGAUCUGGAGGCCUUCGGAUAGCAAUAAAUUUUACCUUUGUUUGUUCAUGCUUCAUGAAUUUGUUUUCCAACUGAUUAUUUGUUGUUGCAAAUUUCAGAUUUUGACAGGUUUGGGUCCAUCUAUAACAUGCUUGACUGGGCGAUCACGUGGCUAUCGAGCACUCUUAUUUUCUGGUCAUAAGCUCUUACUAAGAUGUUGUCGGUCGGGUGCCCUCUACUACUGAAGUUUUACCACGAUCUGGUGGUGCUUGAGAGCAGAGACGACAUACUUUCAUCAGCAGUGGCCAAACCCCCACCGCCGCCGGUGCUGUACACCCCUGUACCCCUCGACAUCCAGUGCCUCGCGUCUGCCCAACAUGAAAACCUCCUCAAUAGGAUAGUGCCCUUUAUGUGCAUGAACUAAUGGGUGUGUUCACAACAUAGAGCAGCUUCUCCAUCCAGUCUCAUGUCUUUCUCUUUAGCAGGGAUCAGUGAGUACUACCGAGCAAAAAAGUCCUUCUCUUCGUCAUAUUUCUUCCUUUUCCUUACUACUUUUGUGGCUCCAAAUCUCUUGAUGGCUCUAUGUCUGUUCUUUUUGUUGACAUGGAUUUUACCCUGAAAGUUUUUCUUCUGAUCUACAAUGUUCUGCCAUCUAAAUUUUUCUGUAUAUUAUGAAUGAGUAGACACUGGUGCAGAAGCCCAAUUGGAUGAAAUUACGGACUACAGAGAGGUGUAAUUAUUAAUUAAUUCAUUUCUUUAAAAGAUAUGCAACUAGCAGAGUUUCUUACUUCUAUGAUUUGGAUUAUGACCGAAUUGAAGAACUUAUGUGGACAGCCCGGCAGAUUUCAGUGGCAAGACUUUUGUACAAUUACAGUGGCAGAUUUCAGAAAUUUGUAGAGCACAUGAUUUACAAGAACAAGAUAUUCU